ensembl:snRNA U6 U6 spliceosomal RNA
AUACUUCAGCAGCAUAUACACUAAAAUUGGAACAAUACAGAGAAGAUUACCAUGGCCCCUGUGCAAGGGUGACAUGCAAAUUCAUGAAGUAUUCCAUAUUUUU